AGAGUUUGAUCAUGGCUCAGGACGAACGCUGGCAGCGUGCCUCAUACGUGCAAGUCGAACGAACUCUGGUAUUGAUUGGUGCUUGCAUCAUGAUUUACAUUUGAGUGAGUGGCGAACUGGUGAGUAACACGUGGGAAACCUGCCCAGAAGAGGGGGAUAACACCUGGAAACAGAUGCUAAUACCGCAUAACAACUUGGACCGCGUGGUCCGAGUUUGAAAGAUGGCUUCGGCUAUCACUUUUGGAUGGUCCCGCGGCGUAUUAGCUAGAUGGUGAGGUAACGGCUCACCAUGGCAAUGAUACGUAGCCGACCUGAGAGGGUAAUCGGCCACAUUGGACUGAGACACGGCCCAAACUCCUACGGGAGGCAGCAGUAGGGAAUCUUCCACAAUGGACGAAAGUCUGAUGGAGCAACGCCGCGUGAGUGAAGAAGGGUUUCGGCUCGUAAAACUCUGUUGUUAAAGAAGAACAUAUCUGAGAAUAACUGUUCAGGUAUUGACGGUAUUUAACCAGAAAGCCACGGCUAACUACGUGCCAGCAGCCGCGGUAAUACGUAGGUGGCAAGCGUUGUCCGGAUUUAUUGGGCGUAAAGCGAGCGCAGGCGGUUUUUUAAGUCUGAUGUGAAAGCCUUCGGCUCAACCGAAGAAGUGCAUCGGAAACUGGGAAACUUGAGUGCAGAAGAGGACGGUGGAACUCCAUGUGUAGCGGUGAAAUGCGUAGAUAUAUGGAAGAACACCAGUGGCGAAGGCGGCUGUCUGGUCUGUAACUGACGCUGAGGCUCGAAAGUAUGGGUAGCAAACAGGAUUAGAUACCCUGGUAGUCCAUACCGUAAACGAUGAAUGCUAAGUGUUGGAGGGUUUCCGCCCUUCAGUGCUGCAGCUAACGCAUUAAGCAUUCCGCCUGGGGA
rnacentral:rRNA from 1 species